rnacentral:lncRNA from 1 species
CUCACUGAGGGAACUGGAAAACUGUUCAGUUCUGUGGCUUUUACGGGCCAUGUAGACAGAGGAAGGGGGCUAAGAUGUGUAAGGGAAUCAAAACCAUUUCAUUUCUCUUUGUGCUUACUGGCCAGCCGUGUCUCCUCUUCUGUGACUGCUCCUGUACUCUGCCCAUUUAUCUCCACAUGAUUUGAAGAACAGCAGAGAUCUUAGAACGAUCUACUUCAGUGAUUCUCAAGAGAAAAGAAACACUCUCCCCUGGGAGUGCACAGAAAAAUUACCUCAGGGACUUUUUUUUUUUUUUUUUUUUUU